rnacentral:lncRNA from 1 species
GAGAACGCCGAGCAGCUACCUCCAAAUCUCCGAAGGGUCAACUACGCAGAGAAUCAACGCCCACCGUGUCCGGAAACAGCUGUAUCUACAUACGAAAUGCAGGGUGUAGCAUGAGUACUACCAACUCAGUAAGUAACAAGACUAAAUAAGGAGUUGAAAGUAGUGACACGUUUCACAGUUAUAGUUCAAUUACAGAGAUUUCAACAUAGGAAGGUAGACAUGCUUUCAAGUUCGAUAAAUUAGGUAAAUAUUUACCUCAUGUCAAGUUCAACUAAAAACAGAAUAAGGAAAUCCAAAGCAUCCUCUCAGAGCAACAGUCACUCAGCCUUUCUCAAUCGCUCAGCACUCGGCACUCGGCAUUCAGUAGGUUCCUGCGCUCACUGGAGGUGUGUAUAAAACCAGAGCGGCUCCUUCAGCCCAAGCACUAUAUCAAGCCAAUCAUGGCAUAAAUCAAUGACACUGUGAGCACAUAAUUUUUGCCCUAUAUGAAAUACUCCUACAGAAUCCAAAGGAAAUAGAUUUUUUUUAAUUAUUUGCCAUUUUAGGGAUUUUUGUAGAAUUCUCUUAAUUAUUUUCAUUUUUCUGUGCAUGUUUAAUUUUUAUUUAAAUCAUGAAAAAUACAAAAAUACUCUGCAUUUACAUUUAGGAUUUAUUUUUAUAUUUUUAGGUUAAUUAGUAAAUUAGUUAUUUUAUAAAAAUGAAAAAAAUCACAAAAAAUGACUCACUUUGCAUUUUUAACCUUUUAAUUUUAAAUUUUAUAGUUCUUCUUUUAAUUUAGGAGUUAAUUAAUUUUUGUAAAUACUAUGAUGAACAAUUAGCUUAAUUUGGUAAGUUAAUUUAGGUUUUAAUUUAAUUUGAAAAGAAAAAGGAAAAUUAGAAAUUGAAAAGAAAAGAAAAGAAUCAAAAGAAAGCGUGUGAUUUUGGGCCAAUUCGUCACAGCCCAAUUGAAUUUCCCCAAACCUAUUCAGAUCCGGCCCAAAACCUAGUCCCACAUACGGUCCAAGCCUUCAGCCCCCAAAACCUUUGAAACGACGUAGUAUGGGAAAGAGACUACGUCGUUUUGAGUUCGAAGUUUUAAAACCAAUCCGGGCCCUUCAUCUUCUUUCAUCGAACGACUAUCAAGGCUUCGUCUUUAGUUGCAUAAAUUGUCCGACAACCCUAAAUCAAGCUAGGACCUGUUUCAUCUUCUCCCUCACACCCCUUCUCUCACCACCGUCUACCGCCCACCGAAAAUCGCCAGCGGCGGCGGUUGACCUCCAAUCCUCACCAGAUUUACACCAUACUCUUCGAAUCUGAGAUCGAUGUUCGGACUCGCGAACCCUAACCUACCCAAAUUCAUACCAGGUGACCCUCAGGCUUUCCUAAUCCUAUUCCCACACCUAUUUCCCAAAAAUCCCAACAAACUUUCCCCCAAUUCCAAAUCUAAAAGUUCAAGCACUAAUUUUCUCUUUUAUUCUGAUUCCGCGCAAGUCCCGACUCGUGUGACCUAUAAUCUACGCUAGUCGAUUGCUCUUAACGAGAGCAAUCAAUUAGCAUUGGUUUUAGUUCAUUCCGAGGAUGCCGGAUUUUGACGAAUUCAUGAGAUUCCAGUCAAAUUUUCACCCCCGUCGAUGUGUUUCAUGUUGUCAAGACAUUCCGGCAGUUUGGUAUUUUCCCCUCCAUUUUCUUACUGAUUUCAUGCAUUGUAGUAUUUUCUGCUUUCAUUUUUUUCCUUUGUUUUGGCUUGUUUUCUUUUGUAGUCGAUUUCAUUUUAAGUUGAUAGUUAAAAUAAGUUAAAUCCUAAAAUCUGAAUUGUUUGAUUUGUUUUCUAUUUUUUGGAAUUUCUGUGGUCUUGUUUAAUCAUUUUUGAUUGUUCGAGUUCUUAUAUUAACUAUGAUCAUCACUGACCUAGUUAAGCGACUUGUUCAUUUGGGCUUGGUUUAACUUGACCCAGGUUAGUAUAAUAGAGGUUUAAAGGGUAGUUUAGGAAAUUGGGCAAGGGAAAUCUUUCUUAACUGCUUGGAGAAACUUUUAGGAAGGUGGGGUUAGGUUUGUUUUAGCAAGCAGAUUUUAAUUUUGGGGUCUAAAAUGAAUAAAUUGGAAAUGAGGGAAGGGGUAAUUGGUAAAUGGCAGAGUCAUUUCUGAUGCCCUAAAGGCUUUCUAUAAAAGGCCUGUUUCCUUCAUUGCUGGGUGGGUGGGGUGGGUGGGUGGGUGGGUUACAGAUACUGAAAUUUAGAAUGGCUGAAAGAAUACUCUGAAAGAAUACUGAACUUUCUGCAUUCUUUGUUUGAAAUUGGUUUAGAGUCUGCUUUUAAUCUUCUUAACUUGAAACCUUCAAGAAUUUCUAGUUCAUUUUGGGUUAAAAGUGGUUUAGAAGAACUGAGUUUUGUUGUUGUUUGAUUUGCUGAGUUGCAAGCUGAUACUAUUGCUGAUUUCUUUCACCUUCCUUUUGUUUUGAUCUUUCCAGGUACUUCUUGGCCCUCAGUAAUAUGUGAAGUGCCUUGUUGAAACCAUGUAAUCGAUUUGGACAUUGUGGAAUUAAUGUGAAUCUGCUGCAUAUUAGUCCCUACCCUUCAAAGAUUAAUCAUAUUUUUUGGAAUUAGCUUUAUUAUUUAAGUGGUACUGUAUUCAGUCGUGCAUGGGCAAAAAUGGGUUUGCCUAUGUUUUUCCGGAGUUUCUUAAAAGAAUUAGGCCUGGCUUGGGCCAAAAUGGGUCUGCCAGUUAGGAAAAGGGCUGUUUAGGCCUAUUUCCGCCUUUUUGUGACUUCUAGGCCCAAUUUGGGGCCUAUAACAUCCAGGAAGUUUUUCUUUUUAACUUGUCGUUAUUUUUGGUAAUAGAUGUAAUGAAAAGGGAUUUGUCUUUGAGUUUUGAUUGGCCAUCCUCAUUAAUGUUGGUUUUUUGGGUGCCAUGCCCUACUUACUCUGCGUUCUUUCUUCUGAAAGUCUUCAAAUGACAUUGGGCCUAUAGCUGGCCCAAACAUGUUUCAAUUAAUUAAGCACUUGGUCUCAACCGGCGCGGGUUCAUUAAUCAUUAGGAUUAGAUUGAAUAUUAACCUAGAAUAAAUUCGAAUUCUCUUAGUCUUCUCUAAUUAAUUAGACUCUUUUAAGUUAGAUUGGGGUUGUGCCAUAUCCACAAAACUUAUAAUUUAUGGCCCUCAAAGACUAGAUCAAGAAAUAACUUUAAGAAUAAUUUGAGGCGUGCCAUGACAAAUCAAACUCUCAAGCCCAUGGCCCUCAUUUAAUUAAUACAACUUUUUUUAAUCGAGGUGUGCCGUCAAUUUUCCAUGGCCCUCGAAGCCUUGUUAUUAAUUUGAACCUUCGUAGUUGCUUUAGGCGCGUUCUUUAAAUUGACUUUCUUUUAAUUAUUAACCUCGGGUGCACAUUUCAUGUGACCCAAAUUCAAUUCUUAACAAUGUUAAAUAGAACGUAUCGCAAACCGCGGGUGCAUUUUAUGUGGCGUGGUUCAAGGCAUGUUUUAAAUAACAUUGAAUCUCCCUAAAAGCGUUUUAAAAUAAUUAAAAGCAGCUAAAAGGUUAAAAAUGCACAUAUGUUUAAAAGUGUUUUAAAAUCAAAUAAUUAGGCCAAUAAUAAUAGUUGAGCGACCGUGCUAGAACCACGGAACUCGGGAAUGCCUAACACCUUCUCCAGGGUUAACAGAAUUCCUUACCCGGAUUUCUGUGUUCGCAGACAUAAAUAGAGUCAAAUCUUCCUCGAUUCGGGAUCCUAAACCGGUGAAUUGGGACACCAUAAAUUAUCCCAAGUGGCGAAUCUGAUUUUUAAAUAAUAAUCUCGUUUCAAUUGUCACUUAAAUUGAAAAAAACUCCUUUAUACCCUUCUGGGGGUAGGAAAAAGGAGGUGUGACAGCUAUGACGACUCUAUUAGGGAAAAGAACCUAAAACCUCUGGUUGGGUUCAGAAUUCGAGCUUAAAAUAACUGUUAUAGUUGGCUUUUAUUUAUUAUCUAAUUUUUAUAUGUUUGAGCCUAAUGUGAUGAUUGCCGCUUUUUACCGCUUUGAUAUUUGGUUGAAUUGUGUAUAAAAACUGCUACGAAACCCUCUUCUCUCUGAGUCUUCUAAAUCAUUUGGGAAGUGUGCACUUCGUGUGACUUCUCUUCUGUUAGAGUCAUAUCCCAAUUUUAGAACCAGGUUCGGACAAGUUGCAAAGCCGGUGAAGCUUCUGUAUUCCCGGUACGCUGCCCCCCUCGGCUCGAGCUGUACGCUCGGGUAAGCCAGGUCUAGAACAAAUAAACCCAGGUUUUCAAACCUAGUAUAACAUAGCCUCAUGCCGGAUCCUUAGUAGGAACUCUUGCUUGCAUCAUGUGCAUUCUGACUUUGGGGACUCAACACAGGGAUUGGGUCCGUCUAGGACAGGCGCACCUGAAAUCAAAAGACCAUCCUGAUGCAUUUUUGCUUGCUACUUGCGCAUUUAUUUGACUCGGUCACACCUCCUUUUUCCUACCUCCGGAAGGGUAUAAGGGAAUUUUUCCAAUUAAAGUGAUGAUCGAGAUGAGAUUGUUUUAUUUAAAAUUCAGAGUCGCCACUUGGGAUAAUUUAUGGUGUCCCAAGUUACCGGUUUAAAUCCCGAAUCAAGGAAAGAUUGACUCGAAUUCUGUUAACCCAAGAGAAGGUGUUAGACAUUCCCUGGUUCCGUGAUUUUAGCACGGUCGCUCAACUGUUAUUAUUGGCCUAUUUAUUUGAUUUUAAAACAUCCUAGAAACCUGUGUGCAUUUUUUUCCUUUUAAACCGCUUUCAAUAAUCCGAUUGUUAUACAACUAAUUAUUUGGUUACACGUUGCGGAUCAUGUCACGAGAGCCGUACCCACGAUCCACAACAUGUUUAUUUUAUUAACAAGAUUAAAUUGUAGCCGGAUCACAUAAAUGUACCCCCAAAUUUUAGAAAUUAAGCAUCACAGCUACGUCACAGGAACCGUACCCGUAGCUAUUAUAAUUUAUUUAAUUAACGCGCCUAAAUAAAACUAUGAGAUUUCAAGGCAUUUUCUACACUAGUUAAGAUAUCGAUGUGAGGGCCAUAGACUAGGUGAUUAGAUGGCACACCUCAAAUUUAUUAAAGGAAAAGUAUUCAACUAAGUGAACUAUAGAUAUUCAUAUUUAACUAAUUAGGUAUCAGAACUACGCCACAGGAACCGUAUUCGUAGUAGUAAUGAUUUAAUUACGUGCCUAAAAGUUUGCCCACCCACAUGUAGUCGACCUAUAACAUGCUACUAGCAACCAAUAAAAUAAGCAAAUUAAAAUAGAACUAAAUAAAAUGAAAACUCAAUUCAUGUCCACAUGUUAAAAACCCAAAAUUAACGAUCAAAGGAUAAUAUGAAAGUGAUGAAUAUUUUUCAUUUUAGUCCAGAUUGCUUUGGUUCAGCAUUUCAAUCCCUCAUGGUAUAUUUCAACUAAUCAUCAUUGCCUGACUUCUCUUUCAUUAUAACUCUGUUGUUAUUUUAUCAACAAUGACAAAAGGGAAAAAUUAGUUCAAACUACAGAUGAUCAGAUGCAAAGAAUCAACCAAACAUAUAUUCAAAAAAUCACGUUAAACUUAUAUCACAACUGAAGGAUUGAAUCAUCACAUAAGAGUAACGAAAUGAAACAGAGGAAGAAGAAAAACUUGAACCAAAUAAUGAGCUUUCCAGUAUGUGAAUCCAAGAGCAAAUGAGAAAAUAGUUCAGGACCUCGAUGAGGCGGAAUCUCGUUGGACAACACUCGAACCUCGACGGAACCAACAGACAGAGCUUUGGACAAAUUUGACAGUAACCUCAGACAAUGACGUCUCCGGCAGGAUCUCAAAAUCAGAACAAAAGGCAAAAGUGCCAAACAAUAAAAGAACAGAAACCGUUAUUUAGAGAAUAUUUUGACUGUGAAGGGUGCCAGAAAUGGUGAUUUCAGCGACGAGAGACAAAAAUGUGAUUUCGUCGGCAUUAAUGGAGGUCGUUGGUCAGACCCAGAUGGAUUUUGACUUAUUUUUACGCACAAACACAAAUAACGACGUUGUUCAACAGAUUCGCUGCUGCUAGUGGCGUCGUUACUCGCUGGUGAUCAAUUCCGGUGAGGCACCAGUUCGAGCGACGAGGCUAAGGGAGAAGCACUACUGUCGUCUCUCACUGUGAGGAGGAAAAUGAGAGAGGGGUCUUUUUUGAGGUUCUCGCUGCUUAGGUCUCCUAAUGUUGAAGAAGAAAAGGUCCUAGGGUCUUUUUCAAAUCUGAUGGAACGACUGGCUAAGGGUUGUAGCCAUUGUUGUCUUAGCUAGGUCUUUUUGUGGAAGAGAAGAAGCUUAGGGUUUUAUUUUGUAUCUAGGUUAGUCCAAUCCAAAGAAAUACGGCUGAUCUCAUUUAGGGUCCCUAGGCUAGCUUUUGUAGGGUUUUUUUUAGGUUAGGGGUAUGGCCUAGGAAUUAUGGGCUAAGUUCGAAAAUUAGGCUUAAAAAUGGGUCGUUUGAGCCCAAAUUUUAUUCUUUUCCACGAACGUAACAAAAAAUACGAUCUCAUUUAUUAAUUAAUCCUACUUAAGUAAAAUAACUAUUAAAAUAAGAUUGACCGUUAAAACAAAACUAUU